UUCUUUACGCGAGCCGCGUGGGAACCAGUUUCAGCAACUAUAUAAGGAACGCAUCGGAUUUCAAUUCAGUUCGUUCAUUUCUCAAUUCUCAAUCACAAUUUCUGUAGUAGGCUUAUUAUACUCGGGUAUUAUACCCCCUAAUUAGCGAAGCUCUGCCUCGUUAUUAUAACCAGGAAGUCACAAAGGAAAGCCCUAUAAUAGCAAUGUGAGUUGAUCCACUUUUUGUAAAUAUUUUUGUUAACUGUUUUUACAAAACCUUAAAUAUUUCUUCAUGUGAAAGACAGUUAUUGAGUAUUUGUAAGGGUACAAUUAUGAUGGUAUAUUUGGGGUUUUGUAUACAAAAUUUGUUACCACCUGGGGAGAGGAGUAACAUGACCAUAAGUCAGAUGACAGUACCAUGGAUGUUAAUUGGUAUUACCUGUAAACAAAUGUAAUUGCGGAUGCGCCCUCAAUAUUGUACACUGUGAAAAUGGUUUUAUUUAAACUUGAUUAAACUGGGAUUCACUCACCAGUAUUUCCUGCUGAUAAAAUGUUUUAAACACGUGUUCAGGUAACUUAGUGUGAAACUAAUAGAAGCCAGCUGGAGAGCAUUGAAGGCUUGGAAAAGUGGCAAUAAAGUUACCUAAAAUAAAAUAGAUGUUUUUAUUAAAUAAAAUAGGAUGUAUUCCUAUGAAAAUGUAUGUACUGCAAAAACUUGGGUUUUAUCCCAUGUGGUUAAUAUUAUGAAAAUAUGGUGGUUUCACUCUGAUAAAAUAUUUCCUAACUACGGUCCUGAUGAAAAAAUUCCGCUGCCAAAUUAGACAAUAACCAGAUACCACCGAAAUUGGCUCACGGCCGCCCGCUCCCGGGAUAGGGGUCGGGGGUUGUGACAGAGGGUGGUAUCAGAGCUAUGCCACUGGUUCAAGCCAAAGAAGUAGUAUGA
rnacentral:lncRNA from 1 species